AACGAACGCUGGCGGCAGGCCUAACACAUGCAAGUCGAACGCUCGUAGCAAUACGGGAGUGGCGCACGGGUGAGUAACGCGUGGGCACCUACCCGGUGGUCCGGAAUAACCGCGGGAAACUGCGGCUAAUACCGAAUAAGCCCUUAGGGGGAAAGAUUUAUCGCCAUCGGAUGGGCCCGCGUAGGAUUAGCUAGUUGGUGUGGUAACGGCGCACCAAGGCGACGAUCCUUAGCUGGUCUGAGAGGAUGAUCAGCCACACUGGGACUGAGACACGGCCCAGACUCCUACGGGAGGCAGCAGUGGGGAAUAUUGGACAAUGGGCGCAAGCCUGAUCCAGCCAUGCCGCGUGAGUGAAGAGGGCCUUCGGGUUGUAAAGCUCUUUUGGCGGGGACGAUGAUGACGGUACCCCGGCAGAAUAAGCCCCGGCUAACUUCGUGCCAGCAGCCGCGGUAAGACGAAGGGGGCCUAGCGUUGUUCGGAAUUACUGGGCGUAAAGGGCGCGUAGGCGGUUUGUUAAGUCAGGCGUGAAAGCCCUGGGCUNAACCUGGGAUGUGCGCUUGAUACUGGCAGGCUUGAGUGCAGGAGAGGAUGGUGGAUUCCCAGUGUAGAGGUNAAAUUCGUAGAUAUUGGGAAGAACACCGGUGGCGAAGGCGG
rnacentral:rRNA from 1 species